AUGAUGAUAUUUUAUUUAUUUGUAUUUCCCAGUUUUCCCUCUGCAAAUCCCUUUUUCCAUCCCCCCUCCUCCUGCUUUUAUGAGGAUUCUCCCCACCCACUCACUCUCACCUUCCCACUCCCACAUCCCCACUCUGGCAUUUCUCUACACUGGGGCAUCCAGCCUUCUCAGGACCAAGGGCCUAUCCACCUAUUGAUGCCAGAUAAGGCCAUACUCUGCUACAUAUGUAGCUGGAACCAUGGGUCCCUCCAUGUGUACUCUUUGGUUGGUAGUUUAGUUCCUGGGAGCUUUGGCAGGGCGUGGGAGGUCUGGUUAAUUGAUAUUGUUCUUUCUAUUGGGUUGCAAACCCCUUCAGUUCCUUCAGUCCUUUCCCUAACUCCUCUCUUGGGGUCCCCAUGCACAGACCAAUGGUUGGCUGCAAGCAUCCACAUCUGUAUUUGUCAUGUUCUGGCAAAGCCUCUUAGAAUACAGCAGGCUCCUGUCAGCAAGUGCUUCUUGGCAUUAACAAUAGUGUCUGGGUUUGGUGUCUGUAUAUGGGAUGGAUCCCCAGGUAGGGCAGUCUCUGGAUGGCCUUUCCUUCAGUCUCUGUUCCACACUUUGUCCCCAUAUUUGCCUUAGACAGGGGCAAUUCUGGGUUAAAAAUUUGGAGAUAAGUAGGUGGCCCCUUUAACUGCAUUUGACUACAAUGGAAUUAACCAUAUCUGUUGUGACCAUUCUGCCUUCCAAAUUUCCUUCAGUGAACUAUGUUUUAAUAGUGUCCCAUAGUUAUCAGUUUCUUGACAUUCUAGUUAUUUUAACAGAAAAAAAAUCACCAAUAUAUGAAUUCAAACUGAUGUUAAUUUUUAAAAUCUUAAUCUUAACUGCAGAUAAUAAAGAAUUUAGAUCAUUUAAGAAGAAAUCUACAAAAGUGAUGCUUGGCUCAGAUUUCUUAUGUUCCUUGUUGUUCUGAGUAAAAUCAAACAUUUGAAAAUAUGUUCUGUAAAUCUAAAUAACUUUUAAUAGAGUCAGAUACAAAUGUAGGCUUUGCUGCUCUGAAAGGUAUAGAUGUGAAUGCAUAAUUAGUUGUGAUGUAUUUCAUUUUAUUAACAAAGGCACCCCACUAAACCUAUCACCUGUAAAGAAUCAUUUUCUUCAUAGAAGCUUUAUUAAAUGUAAUAUUGUACUUAUGCUAAAAGGAAUGUUUUUUUAGUUGUACUGAUUUUUCUCUAAGAAAUAUGUCUAUAAUGUAUCAUGAAUCAUAUCAAGACAUCUACAUUCCUCAGUACAAUUUUUUAUACUACUUACCAGCUGAGUUGACUGUGUAUCAUAACAUUAGCUAACAUGAAAAAAAAAACUCACAUAAGUGCUGUGCUGUUUUGAUAUUUGAAGUCUAGUAAGAGACAUAAGUAAAGAGAAAACAAGUACAUGCACACUAGAGUAUGGAAAAUGCCAUAGUGCGCUUUGCAGUUCUAUAUCUUCCAAGAACAGAGAAGUCUCAAAGUGAGGUGAACACAGCACUCAGAAUAAUCAACACUGAGGUUUAGUAACUCAUGAUUUAAGAACACUAUGGCACGUGGACAUAUUUUUUUAUGGCAAAAGAAAACACUACUUUAUCAUGAAGUGUCAUAAAGAGCAAUUUAACUAUGAUUGGCUGUAAAAGAAUCUUGAAUGCCCAGGAAGCCCUAAUUAUAUGGCAACACUGGAGAGUCUAAAUUCUGUUGGGAAAAAUCAACUACAUAUUUUAUAUUUUAAAAAUAUUAUGAAUCCAGGAACAGACAGGUGGGGAUGAGAAAAUGUUGAUAGGAGUGGAAAGAAACAAAAGAAGAUAGAGGAAAUGAUAAUCAGAAUGCAUUAUAUGCACGUAUGAUAUUGAUAAAGAGCAAAAUCAUUCAAGC
rnacentral:lncRNA from 1 species